rnacentral:rRNA from 1 species
AUGGUGGAUUCACCCCAAUGUGGACUAUGUGGAGUUCGGGAUUCCUGGCGCCAUUCACUUCUGGAGUGUACAUCGUCGAGGAGUGUGUGGGCUCUGAUUGACGAGGAGAUCACACAUAAAAUCAUAACUACAUCGGAGCCAAAGGCAAAGCAAUGGAUGUUCACGUUGAUGGAACUGUUAUCGCGUGAUGAGUUCACGCUGGUAUUGAUGACAUUAUGGUCCAUAUGGCAUGCAAGGCGCAAGUCUAUCCAUGAAGCUCUCUUCCAGAGCCCCCAUACGACUCAUGGUUUCAUCAUGAGGUAUAUAGCUGAUCUCGGCAUUGUCAAGGGGAACAUGCAACAA